CCUACGGGAGGCUGCAGUGAGGAAUAUUUGUCAAUGGGCGCAAGCCUGAACCAGCCAAGUCGCGUGAGGGAAGACUGCCCUACGGGUUGUAAACCUCUUUUAUAAGGGAAGAAUAAUGACUACGUGUAGUCAGAUGCCCGUACCUUAUGAAUAAGCAUCGGCUAACUCCGUGCCAUCAGCCGCGGUAAUACGGAGGAUGCGAGCGUUAUCCGGAUUUAUUGGGUUUAAAGGGGGCGUAGGCGGUGUUUUAAGUUAGUGGUAAAACGUCGGGGCUUCACCUUGAUUGGCAAUUGAUACUGGAGUACUAGAGUACAGACGAGGGAGGCGGAAUAAGUGGAGUAGCGGUGAAAUGCUUAGAUAUA
rnacentral:rRNA from 1 species